rfam:Lactobacillus oris PB013-T2-3 contig00029, whole genome shotgun sequence.
AUGUCCUUUAAGUUAGUCCCGUGAGGCUAGUAAGGUGCGGCUAAAAAUACGAGAAUACCAGUUGUUUGGUAUUGGAGCCCCUAGACUACACGGAUGAGUCUAGGGGCUUUUCUUU